rnacentral:lncRNA from 1 species
AUAUUAGUCAUUUCACCUGAAACCCCCCUGCACCAGAGAUUUCCCCAAGCCCACUCCAGGCUACAAAGCUGCGUGGCCAACGCGCUGCCACUCCCUAAGGAAUACAGUGCAGAUGAGUCCAGUCUGAAGCAGCAGAGUUACAGCAGGAAGCUUGGUAGUGUCUGAUCUCCACAGCGAGAGAUUAUCAGACUCUCCUCCACCCUGAGGGU